AUAAAAGGCAAGAUGGCUACUCUUAGCGUAAUUACGCUAAGAGAGGAAAGUCCGGGCUCCGGCAAGGCAACGUAUCUCGAUAAUUUCGAGACAUCCGCCUUAGGGUGGAUAGGAUAAGAGCCACAGAGACGAGUCUCCGUGUUUUUACGCGGAGGGUGAAACGCGGCAAUCUCUACGUGGAGCAAGGUCAUAAAGGAGGCGAGUCCGCCACAAACAUUGGCGAGACAGGAACCAGCCUGGUUCGUUUGAGUCUCGGGUCGACUGCUUAAGAUCCUGUAGCAAUACGGGGUUAAAGAUGAAUGGUCAUCAUACCUGCCUGGCGACAGACAGGAACAAAACCCGGCUUACCUUAAAUAUCU
rnacentral:RNase_P_RNA from 1 species